GUGAAAGGAGACACUUGAGGACACGUUAGUCCCAGUGUCCCCCUAAAGGCCUUGAGCCCCGAAGCACUGAUCAAUGUGCAGGAUCAUGGCGGAUGACUGAUGACUCCUGGUGGAGUCACAGGAGAAGACACCAGGACACAUCGCGCUCUAGAAAACUUUAAUAUGUGUCUCUUCUGUUUUAGAAUAACGAUGAGCUAAUUCAGGAAGCCUGAAGUCUCAUCUGUUAAUCUACACCUCACAGCCUUUUCCAUCCUUCUCAUCUUCACGUCUCACUCUGACACGAGUUGUUGCUGCCUCGAAAAUUCGAGUUUUGCAUGUGAAGCUUCGUUGUAAUGUCGAAGGCAAACUAAGAAGUCAGCCUCAAACGUGCAGCAGGUCCGUCUUUUCUGUUUGUGGGUUUUUAACUGUCGGGGUGCACAGCGCGUCACACAAAUGCCCGUGGGAACAUCCGGCGAUGCAGAGAUGUCGGUCAGUAAAAGCUGUGGCUGCAGAACGGACCACUUCCCGUCUCUGAAGGGACGCGGCAGCCGCACGCCGCCUCGAGGAGGCAGGAAGUGACCCUUUCUGUUCUCUCCGUCCGGCAGGUCAAAGACGCGUUUGGGGUGAACGAUGUGGCAAACGGGGUCCACGCACGACAACGCGCGACAACUUCUCACACAAUCGAAUGCAGCUGAUGCGAAAAUAAGAACUAAGUUGCGCGUUUACAUAUUUAUAAGGUGAUCAGUUGUUUUUAACGUGACUCUUCAGUAACAGACGUAUUUUAACAUACUCUUAAUUUGUUUGUUUGCUUGUCCUGUUGUAAAGGUCUAAGAGGCUUCAUGUGUGCUCUUUAUCAGAAUGAGAAGGUAAGCACGCCACAGAAUACCUGUGUUAGGGAUCCAUCAAAUGUAGGAACCACAUUAAUUUAAAACUGGUGGAAGAGGUUAUGCUUGUUUUUGGAGAUGUGAUGUUCAGGGAGAUGAUCGGGGUUGAACUAACAAAUGAGGAGGUUGUAAAGCGGAGCUUUGCUGAACAGGUCCUUACACGUUCAACACUGCACAGCGUUUCCUUAAAUGACCUCUGCAUGAAAAAGCCUCUCUGGAAAUAGUCACUCGGCGCCGAAGGCUGUUGAAUGUGGUUUACUGGUUUACUGCGGUAAUUAGAAACUGCUCAGUUAGUUGUGGUUGGCAAAACAAAACAAGUUUAAACAGUUUUUUUUAAAGCCUCCGUUGCAGUUUUUCUGAACCAGGAGCUCGGUGCUUCGGGGCCUUGAAGGUCUUUUUCUCCAGAUCUUCAGACUUCUGCCGCCAGGCCUCAUUGUUGGCGGUGCGUUCGGCACGUUUAAUAACCGUGUGUACUGUGGACUCGGUGAGCCUCAGAGACAGACCCCUCGGGUUCGGGUCUGAGAGCUUUGCUUCGUACUCACAAACCAUCCGAUCGAAGUGCGGCUUCUUCUCCUCCAGAAGUGUCACAGUUCAGCUCGACACCCUCCUCACAGUCCAACUGCCCGUCCCUGUUUAACCCGCCGGCCCGACUCCCGGUGAACCUACCCGCCCUUUGUCUUACCGUUACUCGGCCUGCUGUUUGCGAUAAAAGGUCAAAAGAUCGUGCGAGUGCAUUUUGGGUCCAAACACGAACCGUUACGAGAAUGGUGGUUUCUGAUUGCUGAUCCUGGGUCUGGCUUCUCAAUUCCAGAUUCCCUUGUUUUAUCAUGUCACCACCACAACAGCUUUUAAAGUUAUACUCUUAUUAUAGUGGUACCUUGUGUGCAACCGGUACGGUUAGAAUACGAUUGUGUGAUCAACGGGUAUUUGAAUAUCUUUCAUGUAGCUUUUUUAGGGGCUUUCCUUAAUCUCCGGACAUGCUGGUAUUAUAAAGGGGACAGUUCGACCGGAGAACACCGCUGUUGGUUUUCGGGGGUGGUUCGUGCUUUUUGCUGGACGGCGAUGCAGAAGCUGUAGAUUAAGAUCUCCGGACUUUUGUCACAUUUGUCUCCGUUUUAUUAUUUUAUUAUCGCUGUUCUGAAGUAAAUAAGCUUUGCUGAACAGGUCGGCACGCGUUCAACACUGCACAGCGUUUCCUUUAAUGACUUCUGCAUGAAAGCCUCUCUGGAAAUAGUCACUCGGCGCCGAAGGCUGUUGAAUGUGGUUUCUCAACAUGUUUAGCGAGUGGUCAACUGUCUCUCACAUCAAUAAGCACAAAGUGUCCUUCAGUCAGAGGGAACUUCUCAAGGCAGCGAGGAAACGAUAGAAGAUAAAUACUUUCAUCUGUUCUCUGAAACGGUCUGUAACUUUCGUUCUUUACUUCAACAUUUGUUUCAGUACAUGAAAGAAUAAAAUGUGUCAUUUUAUGCGUUAUAACAGAAAAAUGAUCGCAAUCGUCGGGAUCUUUGCGGCUCUGGCAACAACAUCUCUGGCAAAAGGCUCCAUUGAAUGCAGUUUUUCUGAACCAGGAGCUCGGUGCUUCGGAGUCACGGGACAGCGGCUCAUUUUUCAUCUGGGAAACACAUCAAAUACAGAUAUUAGGCUGAUUAAGGACAACAUUCGUAUUUUAAAAAUAUUUAAACAUCAGAUUGUGAAUUCAAAUAAAGAAUACGUGACUGAA